ensembl:lncRNA
AGCAGAGCUAGGAGGAGGAUUAUUGAUCAGACUAUCUAGCUGCUUAGCCCCUGGGCAGUGGCCCAAACGGCAACCCUAUAAAGUUCUGCUCAGACGUAGUGCACUAUAUAGGGAAGAGGUCUAUAGUAGUGCACUGUAUAGGGAAGAGGGUCUAUAGUAGUACCACUGUAUAGGAAGAGGGGUCUAUAGUAUACCACUAUAUAGGGAAUAGGGUCUAUAGUAGUGCACUGUAAAGGGAAGAGGGUCUAUAGUAGUGCACUGUAUAGGGAAGAGGGUCUAUAGUAGUACCACUAUAUAGGGAAGAGGGUCUAUAGUAUACCACUAUAUAGGGAAGAGGGUCUAUAGUAGUACCACUAUAUAGGGAAGAGGGUCUAUAGUAGUACCACUGUAUAGGGAAGAGGGUCUAUAGUAGUGCACUGUAUAGGGAAGAGGGUCUAUAGUAGUGCACUGUAUAGGGAAUA